UUCCUCUCAUGUAGUGAGUGUAAAAGUCUCUCCGCUCCGCAAGCUCUCUCGUUUCGUUUCGUUGGUUGGUGGUGGACCAGGAUUCUUCUAAAACUAGUUUCUGAUAUUUUUAUUUCAAUCUAUUAUCUAUUUGAUUUUCAAACUUGCUUCUUUUUUUUCUAGGGUUUGAUUUCUAACUUGUUGUUCUGUUUGUUUUCAGGGCAGGGGUUUUAAGGAUGAUGCUUUUAUCAAUCGAUGACGAUGGCUUUGAUGGAAACGCUUCUUCUCUGUGCCACGUCUUCAGGGGUUUUGUUCCUCUGACUCUCUAGUUCAGAACAGCAUCUUCACUCGUUCGUUUCGUUUCGUUUCGUUGGUGGUAUUGGAUUAGGAUUUUAUCAAUCAAUGAUGAUGGCUUUCUAAUGGACACGCUUCUUCUGUGUGCUACGUCUUAAUGGAUCGUGUGAUGGCUUUGACUGAUCCUUGUCACUCUCAUUUAAUGUUGCUCUUUCGGGUAUUGGAUGAUGCUUUGAUCGAUCAGUGAUGGUUUUGAUGGACUCCUUCUUCUCUGUGCUCUACGUCUUCAUGGAUCGAGGAGGCACCUGGAUUACUGACUGUGUGGGAGGUUCAAAGAGAAAAAAUUGUGGGCGUUUAACUUACAGAUGUUCUUGCCGUGUACACACACACUCAGAUGAGAGAUGCUCCACAAAUUCUUUCCUAGACGAGUUUUUUUUUAAGCUUUGUCCUAUGAUGCAGAUCCUCGAGGCAAUGGUUGUGUGUUGGAAGUGGAUCAUGGAGGCUCCUCGGCUCUUCCUACGAUCGUCUUCACAGUCCAGGGCAGGCACUAGGAUUGCUUUGAACUUAUCUUCUCGUAUAGAAUCAGGUAAGGUGCGGUGGUGUGUGACAUUCUUCUACGGGUCUCUGCUACUAAGUAUGAUGCACAAGGCUGGUCAUGUGGUUUAUAUCAGAUCCUCGACGCACAUGGAGUACUCUGUCGGAGUUUAACUUUUUCAGAUGUUCUUGCUGUGUACACACACACAUUCAGAUGAGAGAUGCUCCUAAAAUUCUUUCCUAGACGAAUCGUGGAUAUCUUCUCGUCUAUCAUCUGUUUAGAGAUUCUUUUUUUUGUUGCAGUAUAUGGAAAAACACUUAUGCUGAAUUAUUGUAGAUGGACUUGACGGAGAUGUGAUCAGCUGUACUUGAUGGAGGCUCUUUGUUGGAGAUAGUUAUUUUACCUGCAAAACGAAGAGAUUUGUUCACUGGUGUACGGAGACCAGAGACAUGUAUGCUUCUCUUUGGGCCACCAGGCACAUUUCAGGUAUGCUUCUCUUUGGGCCACCAGGCAAUGGAAAAAAAAAAAAUGCUUGCCAACGUCUCAGCAUCUUCUUUGACUUCAAAAUGGGUGUGGGUGAGGGUGAAUAGCUAGUUUCUCUGGUGAUUGUCAUUGGAGCUACUAACAAGCCACAGGAGUUGGAUGAUGCAGUGCUUAAUUAGGAGACUGGUAAGAACAUUAUCUGUCACCAGGAUUUGCAUAUCCACCAAAUUGCUAAGGAAAUUAUAUGCAUUUUGUCACUACAUCUUCCGAUGCAGAGCUCUCUCUACCCACAUGCUAGUCGGACGGAAUCAGUGGUUAUAUGCAUUUUAUCACUACAUCUUUUUUAGGGGCUUGAUGCUAAUCCAUCUAUUGGGUGAUCAAUCCAUCCGCUUAGAUGCAGAGCUCUGCCGACCUGCUAAGGUAAAAUUUGUCAUCUUAAGAGUAGCCAACCACAGGAGGAGAAGGUGAGUUCUCUUAUUCCAUUUCCACUACUAAUUAACCAGUUUGCAUUUUCUGUAUAUAUACUAAUAAAUAUUAAUUAUGUCUCUGGAUUUUAUUAUAUAUGGUUUGGAGUUGUGAGAAAGUUCCAUGGAUGUUUCAAGAGCCGUUGGCUGCUGCAGAGUGUUGAAGUCUUCAUAUGGUCUUAAUCUUUGAUGGUCAACUGAAUUCAACUUGUUUGCAGUCAAGGGAGACACAAUGACUGGUGGUGACUUGUUAGUUUAUUGGUCUCCUUCUUAAUCUGCGUUUGGCAAGUCGUAUUGAGAACACUUUGAUGAAUCACCAUGUUACCCUUCCUCCUGAUGCCCUGGGGAAGAUCACUUACAUUGCUCCAGCUGGUCAAUAUUCCCUUAAAAAGGUUUUUGAGGAUACAGUGAUAGAGCUUGAAUUACAGGGGAUCAAGAAAUCUUGAUUACACCAUGCUUCAGAGCUGGCAUGUACGUUGGCCUAGGCCAGUUGCAUCUCGAAGCUUGCUGUCGAUACUCUUCUACUUACUGGGCAGCGUGUCCUUGAUGCCCUUGUCUUGUCCCUUCUGUUAUUGGUGGAACCUGUGUCAUUCCUGGUGCUUUUGGCAGAUAUGACAAAUUCUGCCCAUUCUACAAGUCCGUGAGGAUGAUGCGUAACAUUAUCCAUUUCUACAAUCUAGCCAACCAGGCGGUCAAAAGAUUACUUCCAUAAGGAUUGGAUGAGUUCAGGUUGAAUCAAGGAGCCGCAUUGCUGCUUACUUUAAUGCAAAGUUUUCGUAGUUAUCGUUGAUGAGAAUGCUAGUAUAGACUGUGGAAGAGCUGACGCAGUUAUGAAAUCAUGGCGAGAAGGUACUCAGUCAGAAGCUGCAAAGGCUAUUGCAAAUUUGUUGGUAAAUGCUAGUGAUGCAAAGUCUCAUGAAGGUGCGUUAUGGAAUCUCUCGCUGCAGCUGGUGGCGUUGAAGCUUUGCCGAGUCAGCAUCUUUGGGAAAGUGGAAACGCGGACGGGGAUGCAAGACACGAUUCCCUAGUUUGGGGAUGCACUUGUUACAAGACACGAUUCCCUAGUUUUGGGAUGCACUUGUUGAACAAAGAGAGAGACUUGUGAAGCACAGUCUCUGCUUUCGAGAUGACAUAGCGGGUCGUUAACCGUUUUCUCAAGCAGUUCUAAGAGCUUCUGUACCUUGAUCUUGACCUCGUCGCACUCCUCCUCGGCUUAGAUAACUUGAACUCCUUCUAUCGCGGAGAUAAGGAUAGGCUUCACUAUCUCCGACAUAGAUAUGAAUUUGAGUGAGAACAGAGAUGUGUUGUGGAUAGAUAAGUUUUAUCUUUCAAGAACAGAGAAGAAAUAAAGAUGUCCUGCAAAAUAUCUC